AACUACCUAUUUAUGGGUAAACUGAUCUUAGCGUGUACGGUCCGUCUACCUUGCUACGACCAUGUGUGUUAUUUUUGUAUAAGCGUUUGACCACAAUGUUUUCGUUAGUGAAAAACUCUCAGCAUUUGGACAAAUCAAUACAGUACUAAAACAACGGCCUAACUGACAAAUCGGUAACCGGGCGCAUUUGAGAUUGAGUGUGGCAGCAGGGCGCAUUUCAAACUGAGUGUGCAGAAGGGCGAUAUUGAUAAAGGUUCGUGUGAGAGAGCGUAGCAGAACGGCGAAGCUGCUGAAUGUCAAACCAGAAGGACGAGGUCAAAAGGCGCACUCGCUGUUGUCAAACUGAAGAAGACGAAAAACCGAGGGGCUCAACAGCUCUAAAUUUUGAUGAACGGCGCAUGAUGGUUUUUUAUUUAUUUUAACGUGUUAUUCAUAAUAUGUAAAUAAAUUAAAUGUUUUGCUACAAAAGUGCAUCAUGUGAUAAAAUCGAUCGGAAACAUAAUAUAGAAUUAAAAUUACUUCCGCUAAACUUCAAACCGAUUUUACUGAGAAUUCGCCCUAAUUAUGACUCUGUAUUGAAAUGGUUGUAAAGUCCGUGUAAUGCUAUUUCGGGGUCAUCGUCGUCUACGGUUUUUUUUUCUCUCACAGUAGCGUGACAGUUAAUGGGUGAAAAAAUACCCAUUUUCGCUAGAAGUACCUCCACCCAUUUAAUGAGUAAACCCGGUUUACCCAGAGAGGUCUACAAGUGAACUGUCACGAACGCCAACGCACGAUCACAAUCUUACAGAAGUCGAUUUCCUCCAACCCGGGAGCAUCAUGACAGCUGCAGUACAACGUCAAUGUACCGAAAAAUUUUGGUCCGUGGUACUGUCAAACUCAAUGAAAUCAUGGAGUGUGCUCAAAAUAGGGCGUAAACUAGAAUUAUGUUUGAUGGACAUAUAAAAAAGUU